rnacentral:rRNA from 1 species
GACGGUAUGGUAUUGGCUUACCGUGGCAGUGACGGUUAACGGGGAAUUAGGGUUCGAUUCCGGAGAGGGAGCCUGAGAAACGGCUACCACAUCUAAGGAAGGCAGCAGGCGCGCAAAUUACCCAAUUCUAACAGUUUAAGAGAGGUAGUAACAAGAAAUAACAAUACAAGGCAGUUAAAAUGCUUUGUAAUUGGAAUGAUAGGAAUUUAAACCCUUUUUAAAGUAUCAAUUGGAGGGCAAGUCUGGUGCCAGCAGCCGCGGUAAUUCCAGCUCCAAUAGCGUAUAUUAAAAUUGUUGCAGUUAAAAAGCUCGUAGUUGAAGUUCUGCUAAAAGUAACCGGUCUGCUUUUUAUAAAAGUGGUAUCUUGGUGUGUAUUUAGCAAUGAUGUCCUUUGAAGUGUUUUUUACUUUAUUGUAAUAAAACAUAUUCAGGACUUUUACUU